rnacentral:lncRNA from 1 species
CAAGCUCAAGGUCGGCAAGCAAGACGAUGCGGCGAAGGAGCUCAUGGAUCACACUAACGAGGCCAAGAAGAGGCAGGCGGCCAUGGAAGCCGAGGUGCACAAGGCCAAGGCCACGCGCGACGCCACGCUCAUAUCCAUCGGCAACAUCCUGCACAAGUCCGUGCCCGUCAGCGCCGACGAGGCAAACAAUGUUCCCUUACGGACAUUCGGAGAGAGGAGGAUGGAGGAAGGCUUGAAGAAUCACCUGGAUCUCUGCCUGAUGCUUGACAUCGUGGAUCUGAAGAAGGGUGUGGCUGCCGCCGGC